rnacentral:misc_RNA from 1 species
CGUGUCAGUUCAGGUGUGAUUGUCAUACGGUGCACUCUACGUAUCAAAUUAUUCUCGCACAGUACAUGAGGACAAUUAAUCUUUGUCGUUUAAGAAUAACUCGCAUGCCAAAAAAGAAACUGGAUAUUUCGUCGCAAUGUCGGAGUCCGUGAAAGUGGCCGUGAGAUGUCGGCCGAUGAACGCUCGGGAAUUGCAACAGGGAUGCAGGGUACGUCAGCAAUGGCGAAGGACAAUGAACGAGA